rnacentral:sRNA from 1 species
GAACCCUCCCAAACCCACCCUCUGGGCUGAGCCGGGCUCUGUGAUCACCUGGGCAAGGCCCAUUACCAUGUGGUGUCAGGGGAUCCUGGAGGCUCAAGAGAAUGCUCUGUCUGAAGAGGGAAGAUCAGUGCCUGGAACAGAAAGGACACACUGGAGGUUGGGAACAAAGGCACAUUCACCAUUCCAUCCAUGUCAUAGGAACACACAGGGUGAUAUCACUGUUACUAUGGCAGCCGCCCUCGCUGGUCAGAGCACAGUGA